UGUGCAUAGCAUGAAACUGCCACCUGCAGAGGUCAGACGAGAGCCUGGGAGCCCCUGGAAGAGUUAAGAGCUGACAACUAGGCCCUAGAAACAGAACUCAGGUCCUCUGCAAGCACAGCAGGGACUUUAAACCACUGAGCAUCUCGCCGCCCACACACAUGAUGUUUUUGAAAGUGAGUCUCUCGUUGAACCUGGAGCUCACUGACUCUGUCGAACUACAGGUGGCCACCAAGCUCCAAGGGCCCCCACUGAGCCCAGUGAGAAGACAAGGGUGCUGCCCUGGCCUUACCUGGGUGCUGGAGAUUGAACUUGGAUCUUCAUGCUUGCCCAGCAGGGUAUCACUGUCGCCUGGCUGGCCUGAAACACACUACGUAGACCAGACUGGCUUCAUACUCACAGUCAUCCAUCCUCCUGUGCUUCCUGAGUGCUGGGAUUAAAGGCGAGUGCCACCACGCCCUGA